GCAGCUGUUUUUAAAAGUAAAUAAUUAGAUAUAGAUAGUGACAGUAAAAAUGUACACAUCACAAAAGUGAUAAUUUACCUGUCAAUUUUGAAAAUAAAACUGACAGAAUCAAACUUGA
rnacentral:rRNA from 1 species